UACGGAGGGUGCAAGCGUUGUCCGGAUUUAUUGGGUUUAAAGGGUGCGUAGGCGGGAGAUUAAGUCAGUGGUGAAAGCCCACAGCUCAACUGUGGAUGUGCCAUUGAUACUGGUUUUCUUGAGUAUAGUUGAGGCAGGCGGAAUUUACGAUGUAGCGGUGAAAUGCAUAGAUAUCGUAAAGAACACCUAUAGCGAAGGCAGCUUGCUAAACUAUAACUGACGCUGAGGCACGAAAGCAUGGGUAGCGAACAGG
rnacentral:rRNA from 1 species